UACGUAGGGUGCAAGCGUUGAUCGGAAUUACUGGGCGUAAAGCGUGCGCAGGCGGUUAUGCAAGACAGAUGUGAAAUCCCCGGGCUCAACCUGGGAACUGCAUUUGUGACUGCAUAGCUGGAGUGCGGCAGAGGGGGAUGGAAUUCCGCGUGUAGCAGUGAAAUGCGUAGAUAUGCGGAGGAACACCGAUGGCGAAGGCAAUCCCCUGGGCCUGCACUGACGCUCAUGCACGAAAGCGUGGGGAGCAAACAGG
rnacentral:rRNA from 1 species